rnacentral:rRNA from 1 species
GAUGAACGCUGGUGGCGUGCCUAACACAUGCAAGUCGAGCGAUUCUCUUCGGAGAAGAGCGGCGGACGGGUGAGUAACGCGUGGGUAACCUGCCCUGUACACACGGAUAACAUACCGAAAGGUAUGCUAAUACGAGAUAACAUGCUUUUAUCGCAUGGUAGAAGUAUCAAAGCUUUUGCGGUACAGGAUCGACCCGCGUCUGAUUAGCUAGUUGGUGAGGUAACGGCUCACCAAGGCGACGAUCAGUAGCCGACCUGAGAGGGUGAUCGGCCACAUUGGAACUGAGACACGGUCCAAACUCCUACGGGAGGCAGCAGUGGGGAAUAUUGCACAAUGGGCGAAAGCCUGAUGCAGCAACGCCGCGUGAGCGAUGAAGGCCUUCGGGUCGUAAAGCUCUGUCCUCAAGGAAGAUAAUGACGGUACUUGAGGAGGAAGCCCCGGCUAACUACGUG